AAACAGGCAAUUUAGUUGAGCUCAUUCUUAGGCUUGAUAACUCAAGCAAUCAAGAGUAAAGGCUUUUUCUUUUUUUUAAUUUUUACGCUUGGAGUAACAAUCUUUUUAAGACAAUAAACACAGGUAUACUUUCAUUUCAUCAUCUCAACAUCACUCACACCACAUAUUGCAGCCCGAAUGGAAGUUCCUAAACUAAAGGCAUACGAAAGGUAUUUAUAGCAGCAUUGAAUAUUGAUUCUCAU
rnacentral:misc_RNA from 1 species